rnacentral:rRNA from 1 species
UCGGGAAUAUUGCGCAAUGGAGGAAACUCUGACGCAGUGACGCCGCGUAUGGGAAGAAGGUUUUCGGAUUGUAAACCAUUGUCGUUAGGGAAGAAGAAGUGACAGUACCUAAGGAGGAAGCUCCGGCUAACUAUGUGCCAGCAGCCGCGGUAAUACAUAGGGAGCGAGCGUUAUCCGGAUUUAUUGGGUGUAAAGGGUGCGUAGACGGGAAUACAAGUUGGUUGUGAAAGCCCUCGGCUUAACUGAGGAACUGCAACCAAAACUAUAUUUCUUGAGUAUCGGAGAGGAAAGUGGAAUUCCUAG